rnacentral:rRNA from 1 species
UACGGAGGGUGCAAGCGUUGUUCGGAAUCACUGGGCGUAAAGCGCGUGUAGGCGGUCCGCUAAGUCUGACGUGAAAGCCCGGGGCUCACCCCCGGAAGUGCAUUGGAAACUGACGGACUCGAGUCCCGGAGAGGAGAGUGGAAUUCCUGGUGUAGCGGUGAAAUGCGUAGAUACCAUCAAGAACACCGAUUGCGAAGG